rnacentral:rRNA from 1 species
UACGUAGGUGGCAAGCGUUGUCCGGAUUUACUGGGCGUAAAGCGUAUGCAGGCGGGUUCUUAAGUAGGAAGUGAAAGGUUGGAGCUUAACUUUAACACUGCUCCCUAUACUGGGAACCUUGAGUGCCGGAGAGGAAGACGGAACGACACGUGUAGCGGUGAAAUGCGUUGAGAUGUGUCGGAACACCAAUGGCGAAAGCAGUCUUCUGGACGGAUACUGACGCUGAGAUACGAAAGCUAAGGGAGCAAACAGG